AUGGCAGAUUACAGUGAGGAGCAGUGCAAAGAGCUGGAGACUCGGGAGUCCAUCUACCCUGACUCCUUCACAGGCAGAUGUCUCUCAGCUACCCCUGUGCAUGUUCUCUCUCACCAGUACUUCGCCAUUACUGUGACAUCUAAGCUGGAGAAAAUGAUGAAACUGUCCAGACUACCCUCAAGUUUACAUACAGUGAAAAAUAUCCAGAUGAAGCUCCUCAUUAUGAAAUAUUCUCCCAGGAAAAUCUAGAAGAUAAUAAUGUCUCAGACAUUUUAAAAUUACUAGUAUUACAGGCUGAAGGAAAUCUUGGUGUGGUGAUGAUCCUUACUCUAGUGAGAGCUGUGCAAGAAAAAUUAAAUGAAAUAGUAGAUCAGAUAAAAACCAGAAAAGAAGAAGAAAAGAAACAGAAAAGAAGCAGAAGAAGCUGGAAACCAAUUAUUUCAUGGCACUCCAGUUACAAAUGCGAAUUUCUUAAAUUGGAAGGCCAAGUUUGAUGGAGAACUCUUGGAAAUUAAAAAGAAAAGGAUGAAAGAAGGAGAAGCAGGAAAAAAUAAAUUAAGUGGGAAACAGCUAUUUGAAACAGAUCAUAAUCUUGACACAUCUGAUAUCCAGUUCUUGGAGGAUGCUGGAAACAAUGUGGAGGUAGAUGAGUCUUUGUUCCAAGAAAUGGAUGACUUGGAGCUGGAGGAUGAUGAAGAUGACUACAAUCCUGCUGACCCGGAGAGUGACUCAGUGGACUAAUGGACUGUCCCCAUCUGCAGAGAGGCUUGACUGCCACAGCAUCUGUGGCUGUGCUCAGAGGGUUUUGAUUUUCCUUUCUUUUUUUCUAGAAAAAAAUUACUUUCAGGAGAAUAUUCUUCUGAUAGCUUUCAUCAUCGAACUUAAUAAACUUACUUUAAAAUUAAAAA